ACGUGAUCGAAACAAUCGAGAGCAGAUUGAGGGUUUGAAGAAAAAAAUACACGAAGCCUCUCCUUACCAGUCGAGCUCUUUUAGAGCCUCAGCAAAGUGUUCACUUUCUUUUUGCUAGGUUUCAUUCGAUUUAUUGUGGAUUGGAUGAUGGAAAAACCAGUAAGCCCCUUAAUUUUCUAUUUAAAAAAGGGCGCAAUGAACUGUAACUGUGAAAAGGUUGGAAGAUCUGGCCAAAAAGGGUGAUAGUCUUAUGGAUUCGUUCCCAUUGUUCGAUCAUUCCUAGUAAAGCAAGACGUGUUCAAAUUAUGAUCACUUUUACGCGAGAAAGGGGACCACCCUCUAAGCCUAAGAAUUCCUCAAUGAUCGAUAGCGUACAAGUACUGUGAGGGAAAGGUAAAAAGAACCCUAUUUAUGGAGUACGAUAGAGAACUUGAGAUCUGAUGUGAACAAUCAGUCGAAGGAGAGGAGCUUAAAGCCUUUACCUGAUAUUAGUAAAGUGUACUUACUCUUACGGUGUACCUUUAACAUGAUGGGUCAGCGAGGAAAUGGGAACAGUGCCUUAAGCUUUUAGGUGUAGGCACUUUCUAGAGGUGGAAUCAUAUAGUUCUUCCUAUUUGUCCCAACACCGAUCGAUCUAGCCUUGAGCAAGUUGAAGAUACCUCUAACAGCCCUUGGAGGACUGAACCCACGUAUGUGGCAAAAUACGGGGAUGACUUUUGGCUAGGGGUGAAAGGCCAACCAAAAUUGGAUAUAGUUGGUUUUCUGUGAAAUCUAUUUCAGUAGAGCGUAUGAUGUCGAUGGCCUAAGGUAGAGCACUCAAUGGUAUAGG